rnacentral:rRNA from 1 species
CGGGUAACCUGCCUCAAAGAGGGGAAUAGCCUCCCGAAAGGGAGAUUAAUACCGCAUAAUAUGUUUAAGUCGCAUGACUUUAACAUCAAAGGAUUUUCUUUUAGAAAUUCCACUUUGAGAUGGACCCGCGGCGCAUUAGCUAGUUGGUGAGGUAACGGCUCACCAAGGCAACGAUGCGUAGCCGACCUGAGGGUGAUCGGCCACAUUGGAACUGAGACACGGUCCAGACUCCUACGGGAGCAG